GUUGGAUUAGCUCAGGUGGGAGAGCGUUGUAGGCACGCAAUGAUGUGCGCUACGAAGGCCAGGAGUUCAACUCUCCUAUCGGACA